UGGGGAAUAUUGCACAAUGGGCGCAAGCCUGAUGCAGCCAUGCCGCGUGUGUGAAGAAGGCCUUCGGGUUGUAAAGCACUUUCAGCGGGGAGGAAGGCGGUGAGGUUAAUAACCUCACCGAUUGACGUUACCCGCAGAAGAAGCACCGGCUAACUCCGUGCCAGCAGCCGCGUUAAUACGGAGGGUGCAAGCGUUAAUCGGAAUUACUGGGCGUAAAGCGCACGCAGGCGGUCUGUCAAGUCGGAUGUGAAAUCCCCGGGCUCAACCUGGGAACUGCAUUCGAAACUGGCAGGCUAGAGUCUUGUAGAGGGGGGUAGAAUUCCAGGUGUAGCGGUGAAAUGCGUAGAGAUCUGGAGGAAUACCGGUGGCGAAGGCGGCCCCCUGGACAAAGACUGACGCUCAGGUGCGAAAGCGUGGGGAGCAAACAGG
rnacentral:rRNA from 1 species